UACGAAAGGUCCAAGCGUUACUCGGAAUUACUGGGCGUAAAGCGCGCGUAGGCGGUCUUGUAUGUCGAUUGUGAAAGCCCCGGGCUCAACCUGGGAACUGCAGUCGAAACUGCAAGACUUGAAUGUUGGAGAGGGUGGGGGAAUACCUAGUGGAGAAGUGAAAUUCGUAGAGAUUAGGUGGAACACCAGAGGCGAAGGCGCCUGCCUGGCCAAACAUUGACGCUGAGGCGCGAAAGCGUGGGUAGCAAACAGG
rnacentral:rRNA from 1 species